rnacentral:rRNA from 1 species
CGGCGUGCCUAACACAUGCAAGUCGAACGAACCGAAUUGGAGCUUGCUCUAAUGAGGUUAGUGGCGGACGGGUGAGUAACGCGUGAAGUAACCUGCCUUUAAGGAGGGGGAUAACAUUCUGAAAAAGAAUGCUAAUACCGCAUGACAUAUGAUUGUCGCAUGGCAGACAUAUCAAAGAUUUAUCGCUUGAAGAUGGACUCGCGUCCGAUUAGUUAGUUGGUGAGGUAACGGCCCACCAAGACCGCGAUCGGUAGCCGGACUGAGAGGUUGAACGGCCACAUUGGGACUGAGACACGGCCCAGACUCCUACGGGAGGCAGCAGUGGGGGAUAUUGCGCAAUGGGGGCAACCCUGACGCAGCAACGCCGCGUGAAGGAUGAAGGUUUUCGGAUUGUAAACUUCUUUUAUUAAGGACGAAAAAUGACGGUACUUAAUGAAUAAGCUCCGGCUAACUACGUG